GACGAACGCUGGCGGCGUGCUUAACACAUGCAAGUCGAACGGAAAGGCCCUGCUUUUGUGGGGUGCUCGAGUGGCGAACGGGUGAGUAACACGUGAGUAACCUGCCCUUGACUUUGGGAUAACUUCAGGAAACUGGGGCUAAUACCGGAUAGGAGCUCCUGCUGCAUGGUGGGGGUUGGAAAGUUUCGGCGGUUGGGGAUGGACUCGCGGCUUAUCAGCUUGUUGGUGGGGUAGUGGCUUACCCAGGCUUUGACGGGUAGCCGGCCUGAGAGGGUGACCGGCCACAUUGGGACUGAGAGACGGCCCAGACGCCAACGGGAGGCAGCAGUGGGGAAUAUUGCACAAUGGGCGGAAGCCUGAUGCAGCAACGCCGCGUGCGGGAUGACGGCCUUCGGGUUGUAAACCGCUUUCGCCUGUGACGAAGCGUGAGUGACGGUAAUGGGUAAAGAAGCACCGGCUAACUACGUG
rnacentral:rRNA from 1 species